AAAUGAAGGAAGCAUGGUAAUGUGCACAAAAAUUGAUUUGGGUCUCAAGGCUUGCCUUCUCUAAUGCCUUCAUGCUUUGACUUGUUGGCAUGGUUCCACAGCAAAACA